rnacentral:rRNA from 1 species
AUUGAACGCUGGCGGCAGGCCUAACACAUGCAAGUCGAGCGGUUGAAGGGGGCUUGCUCCUGGAUUCAGCGGCGGCCGGGUGGGUAAUGCCUAGGAAUUUGCCUGGUAGUGGGGGAUAACGUCCGAAAACGGGCGCUAAUACCGCAUACGUCCUGAGGGAGAAAGUGGGGGAUCUUCGGACCUCACGCUAUCAGAUGAGCCUAGGUGGGAUUCGCUUGUUGGGGGGGUAAAGGCUUACCAAGGCGAAUAUCCGUAACUGGUCUGAGGGGACGACCAGUCACACUGGAACUGAGACACAGUCCAGACUCCUACGGGAGGCAGCAGUGGAGAAUAUUGCGCGAUGGGCGAAUGCCUGAUACAGCCAUGCCGCGUGUGUGAAGAAGGUCUUAUGAUUGUAGAGCACUUUAAGUUGGGAGGAAGGGCAGUAAGUUAAUACCUUGCUGUUUUGACGUUACCAACAGAAUAAGCACCGGCUAACUUCGUG